AGUGAACGCUGGCGGUAGGCCUAACACAUGCAAGUCGAACGGCAGCACAGUAAGAGCUUGCUCUUACGGGUGGCGAGUGGCGGACGGGUGAGGAAUACAUCGGAAUCUACUUUUUCGUGGGGGAUAACGUAGGGAAACUUACGCUAAUACAGCAUACGACCUACGGGUGAAAGCAGGGGAUCUCCGGACCUUGCGCGAUUGAAUGAGCCGAUGUCGGAUUAGCUAGUUGGCGGGGUAAAGGCCCACCAAGGCGACGAUCCGUAGCUGGUCUGAGAGGAUGACCAGCCACACUGGGACUGAGACACGGUCCAGACUCCUACGGGAGGCAGCAGUGGGGAAUAUUGGACAAUGGGCGCAAGCCUGAUCCAGCCAUACCGCGUGGGUGAAGAAGGCCUUCGGGUUGUAAAGCCCUUUUGUUGGGAAAGAAAAGCAUCAGGUUAAUACCCCGCUGUUCUGACGGUACCCAAAGAAUAAGCACCGGCUAACUUCGUG
rnacentral:rRNA from 1 species